rnacentral:rRNA from 1 species
UACGGAGGGUGCAAGCGUUAUCCGGAUUCACUGGGUUUAAAGGGUGCGUAGGCGGGUAGGUAAGUCAGUGGUGAAAUCUCCAAGCUUAACUUGGAAAUUGCCGUUGAUACUAUCUAUCUUGAAUAUCGUGGAGGUGAGCGGAAUAUGUCAUGUAGCGGUGAAAUGCUUAGAGAUGACAUAGAACACCGAUUGCGAAGGCAGCUCACUACUCGAUCAUUGACGCUGAGGCACGAAAGCGUGGGGAUCAAACAGG